AAACUGGGAUUAGAUACCCCACUAUUCCUAGAUAUAAAUUGGUUUUUCACCUACCAGAGAACUACGAGCUAUAACUUAAAACUCAAAGAACUUGGCGGUGCCUCUAGACCCCUCAGGGGAACCUGUUUCAUAAUCGACAAUCCACGUUAGACCUCGCCUUUUUUAGUAUUCAGUAUGUAUACCGUCGUCGUCAGGUAACUUUUUAGAACAUAGAAGUUAGCAAAAAAGAAUAUAUCUUUACCUCUUACGUCAGAUCAAGGUGCAGCCAAUAGAAAGGAGAAAAUGGGUUACAAUUAGUAAUUAUAACUACGGAAAAAUAAGUGAAAACUUAUAAAGAAGGAGGACUUGAAAGUAAACUAAUAUUUAUAAAAACUAUCUGAAUUACACCGGCUCUGAGGCGUGCACACACCGCCCGUCACCCCC
rnacentral:rRNA from 1 species